rnacentral:lncRNA from 1 species
AAAUAAUUCCCUCAAAGUGGUAUGAAAAUUCUAGUGUUACAGAUCAUACCUGGCUCAUUCAACUGGCUCAAAACGUAGGCAUGGAGAAGCUAAAACAUGUUUGGAAGGAAAGAGAAGUGAAGCGACCAGAGAGAGCCUUGUCCUGGUUUCAUUUUAAGGAUUUAAAAAAGUUACAGGAUAAGCUCCUUAGAGGACAAUCACAUCAGAACAGUAAUGAAGUCUUUUCACAAGAAAAAGAAAUCCAAGGUGACUGGCUGUCACAAAAUAGCUUUAAAGAAAAAAAAAAAAACAAAAAAAAAAAAAAAAAAAAAAAAAAGAAUAAUAAUAAUAAUAAUAAUAAUAAUAAUAAUACAUUUCCUAGAACAUUACUUAAGACGCUUCCGAAAAGCGCCCGAGCUUCCCCAUCCCCUCCCCGCCUUCCCUUAUCUAUACAGAAUAAAGUGCUUCAUUUAGUUUGUUCACACUAGUAGAGCCACCAAUACACUCUUUAACUUGGCAUGUUUGGGCAACCGAUACUGAAUGCCGGAAAAAUAAUACAGAGCCAAACACCAGGCAUGAGAAACUAGUUUUGAGGCAAGUGCUUGGGGUUUCAUUCGUUUCCUUCAAGUUCCAUGCUACUGAGGUUGUUCUCAUUCCUAUUUUUUAGCUUUUUUUUUUCUUCUUCCUUUUUUUUUUUUUUUUAACUAUUAUUUUCUUCCUUUGCAAGUCCGACCCAACUCCCGUCGUGGUUCCGUGUCACCGGGCAGGGCUGCGUGUGGGGAAGCUCUCGCCGUCCGUGCGAACAAGGGGCGUCUGUCUGUCCGUCCUUCCCUCCCUCCCAGCUUCGGGCAAACCAAGAGUUCACUCAGUGGAGUUGUCUAGCAGCGGAUGCUCAUCUCUAUUGCACUGUCACAGCCAUUCCCACCCGUCCGUCCGUCUGUCUGUCCGUCCCACCGCGCCGGGGUUAUGGCUGUGGUCCGUAGGGCCAGCCGCGCCUCACGGGGGGGUGAGGCCAACUGGUCUGUGCUACCAGGCUCCUGGGAUACAUAAAACCAAAAACAAACAAAAAAAAAAGGACCCUCCCCACAUGACUCCCUCCCUCCCCAAAAGUUCAAACGAAGGGGUGAGGGGGGGAAACAAAAGAAAAAACAAAUCCCGACCCAGAGGGGCGUGGGUGCGUGGGAGGAGUCGCCGGCUGGACGUUGAACUGCUUCGUGGAAAACAAGCCCCUCUCCACCCUCGCGGUCUUGCCGGAGAAGGGGUGUGAGAGAUUAAGGUGCAAGAGUUAAAAAUUAAAGUAAAAAUAAAAAAAAAGAAUUUAAAAAAAAAAAAAAUAAA